UAAGGAAUCUUCCACAAUGGACGAAAGUCUGAUGGAGCAACGCCGCGUGCAGGAAGACGGUCUUCGGAUUGUAAACUGCUUUUAUUUGGGAAGAUUAUGACGGUACCAAAUGAAUAAGGACCGGCUAACUACGUGCCAGCAGCCGCGGUAAUACGUAGGGUCCAAGCGUUAUCCGGAAUCAUUGGGCGUAAAGCGUACGUAGGCGGCGCGUUAAGUGAGAUGCGAAAUCCAGCGGCUCAACCGUUUGGACUGUGUUUCAUACUGGCGUGCUAGAGGAUGGCAGAGGCAAGUGGAAUUUGUAGUGUAGCAGUGAAAUGCGUAGAUAUUACAAGGAACACCAAUGGCGAAGGCAGCUUGCUGGGCCACCCCUGACGCUGAGGUACGAAAGCGUGGGGAGCGAACGGGAUUAGAUACCCCCGUAGUCC
rnacentral:rRNA from 1 species